rnacentral:rRNA from 1 species
AACGAACGCUGGCGGCAGGCUUAACACAUGCAAGUCGAACGCAUCCUUCGGGGUGAGUGGCAGACGGGUGAGUAACGCGUGGGAACGUGCCCUUCAGUUCGGGAUAACCCAGGGAAACUUGGGCUAAUACCGGAUACGUGCGAGAGCAGAAAGAUUUAUCGCUGAAGGAUCGGCCCGCGUCUGAUUAGCUAGUUGGUGGGGUAAUGGCCCACCAAGGCGACGAUCAGUAGCUGGUCUGAGGGGAUGAUCAGCCACAUUGGGACUGAGACACGGACCAAACUCCUACGGGAGGCAGCAGUGGGGAAUAUUGGAUAAUGGGCGCAAGCCUGGUCAAGCCAUGCCGCGUGAGUGAUGAAGGGCUUAGGGUUGUAAAGCUCUUUCGUCCGGGACGAUAAUGACGGUACCGGAAGAAGAAGCCCCGGCUAACUUCGUGCCAGCCGCCGCGGUAA